GACGAACGCUGGCGGCGUGCCUAAAACAUGCAAGUCGAACGAGGCCUUCGGGUCUAGUGGCGAACGGCGGAGUAAUACAUGAACAACGUGCCCCUAAGUCUGGGACAAACGCAGAAAUGUUAUAAAUACCAGAUGUGGCCGGAGAAGGACAUCCUUUCCGAUUAAAGGUUUUUCGCUUAGGGAGCGGUUCAUGGCCUAUCAGCUAGUUGGUGGGUAACGGCCUACCAAGGCGACGACGGGUAGGGGUCUAAGAGGAUGAUCCCCCCGAGUGGGACUGAGACACGGCCCACACACCUACGGGUGGCAGCAGUUGGGAAUCUUGCACAAUGGGGGAAACCCUGAUGCAGCGACGCCGCGUGGAGGAUGACGGAUCUAGGUCUGUAAACUCCUUUUUCAGGGAAAGACUUAGGACGGUACCCUGAGAAUAAGGACCGGCUAACUACGUGCCAGCAGCCGCGGUAAU
rnacentral:rRNA from 1 species